rnacentral:rRNA from 1 species
UACAGAGGCCCCAAGCGUUAGGCGGAAUCACUGGGCUUAAAGCGCGUGUAGGCGGCUUUGCAAGUCGGGUGUGAAAGCCCUCGGCUCAACCGAGGAAGUGCGCCCGAAACUGCAGAGCUUGAGUACCGGAGAGGGUGUCGGAAUUCCCCAAGUAGAGGUGAAAUUCGUAGAUAUGGGGAGGAACACCGGUGGCGAAGGCGGCAUCCUGGACCGACACUGACACUGAGGAGCGAAAGCCAGGGAGCAAAGCGGG